GCCAUGCUAGGCACACAUUGUUGAGUCUUAUUGCCAUGAAGAAACCGAGGAGUGAGUCUUCUUCAUCCACAGUGUGCUGUGGGGAUAACACCUCUGUCGCCUCCAAAAAAAAAAGAAGCCAAAUGUUACCUGCUGCACAGGAUGCCACCACGAGCCCUGAUGUACCACCCGCACGUGUAUAGAGUUGUAAACUUGCCUCGCAUGUCAGGUUGCUUGACAGGCACCUCCCUGGCCAAUGAGAUAAAGUGAGAAGCAGACAGGAGCCAAUGAUAUUCCAGGUGCACCCAGGCUAGAAACCACACACUCUGAAAACACCUGAGAUUGAUCCCCCCCUUCAAAGAGGUCAUGAGAACUGGGAUAACUGGCAAGGAGAGCGUGCCUCGCUCUGGUCCUCCAUUUGAACGUGAUCCAAACUACUGGCAGAGACUCCUCCAACGCCUAAUGAUGGGAGUCUGUACGGAGCUGGCUGGAAUUCCAGAUGCAGUCAAAGAGUGCACUUCCUAAUUAAAAAGACUCAGCUGCUCCAAUGAUACCCAUUCAUGAAGACGUUUGCCCUCAGUUGAACCAUGAUGUUUGUUGCUCCUAAACACACUGCUAUGUUUGUACAAAAUGUGCAAAAGUGGAUAUUAUGUGAUCCCGGUGCCGUUACAUGAGGCUGUUUUCUUUUCACUAACUUUCUAUGAGAUAUCAUAUGUAUGUUCUUCCUGCUUUGUCCUCAAGGCUGAGAGCUGUGACCUCUGGAUAUUUCGUUUUUUCUAUUGAGCUUGAA